CUCUAUUUGCACUAUAAACCAUUUAUUCAUUUACAGACCUCUAACCAGAUCACAGAGUGUGUGUGUGUGUUAUGCUGUGCUAAGAUAUUGCUGUGACAUAUGGUGGAUUAAGGUCCACAACCUGGUAUUAUAUGAGUUGACAACUGUACAAGACAUCCUAUUGAAGACAGUUCUGAGUGAGCAACAGCCCAAGACACCUUGUUAAUGCUGCCCUGUUAUCUACUGAGUUUCUACAUACAAGUCAAGUAUCCAUCAAAGAUUGGCCAUGGUGUUUACAGAACUGAAAGCCAGGCUGUGAUUUUUGAAAAUUUAUUAUAAAGUUCUAAAUGGAAAUACAAUUUGAAAAGCA